AGGCAAGAUGUUGGCAUAGCUGUGUCCAACGACAUAUUUUCAGCUGUGCCUACAUACUGCCAUU
rnacentral:pre_miRNA from 1 species